rnacentral:rRNA from 1 species
GAUAAACGCUAGCGGCAGGCUUAACACAUGCAAGUCGAGGGGCAGCAUAGAUUGUAGCAAUACAAUUGGUGGCGACCGGCGCACGGGUGCGUAACGCGUAUGCAACCUGCCCGUCACAGGGGGAUAAUCCGGAGAAAUCUGGUCUAAUACCCCAUAACAUAUGGAUCGGCAUCGGUUCAUGUUGAAAUUUUCGGAGGUGACGGAUGGGCAUGCGUAGCAUUAGCUUGUUGGUGAGGUAACGGCUCACCAAGGCGACGAUGCUUAGGGGGACUGAGAGGUUUUCCCCCCACACUGGUACUGAGACACGGACCAGACUCCUACGGGAGGCAGCAGUGAGGAAUAUUGGUCAAUGGGCGCAAGCCUGAACCAGCCAUGCCGCGUGCAGGAUGACGGCUCUAUGAGUUGUAAACUGCUUCUGUACGAGGGUAAAGUGGGUUACGUGUAACCUUUUGAAAGUAUCGUACGAAUAAGGAUCGGCUAACUCCGUGCCAGCCGCCGCAGUAA